rnacentral:rRNA from 1 species
AUACGUAGGUGGCAAGCGUUGUCCGGAUUUAUUGGGCGUAAAGCGAGUGCAGGCGGUUUUUUAAGUCUGAUGUGAAAGCCUUCGGCUUAACCGAAGAAAGGCAUUGGAAACUGGGGAACUUGAGUGCAGAAGAGGAGAGUGGAACUCCAUGUGUAGCGGUGAAAUGCGUAGAUAUAUGGAAGAACACCAGUGGCGAAGGCGGCUCUCUGGUCUGCAACUGACGCUGAGGCUCGAAAGCGUGGGUAGCAAACAGGAUUAGAUACCCUGGUAGUCCACGCUGUAAACGAUGAGUGCUAAGUGUUGGGAGGUUUCCGCCUCUCAGUGCUGCAGCAAACGCAUUAAGCACUCCGCCUGGGGAAUACGACCGCAAGGUUGAA